rnacentral:rRNA from 1 species
UACGGAGGGUGCAAGCGUUAAUCGGAAUUACUGGGCGUAAAGGGCGCGUAGGUGGUUAUUUAAGUUGGCUGUGAAAUUCCUGGGCUUAACCUAGGGUGGUCAGCCAAUACUGGGUAACUAGAGUACGAGAGAGGGUAGUGGAAUUUCAGGUGUAGCGGUGAAAUGCGUAGAUAUCUGAAGGAACACCAGUGGCGAAGGCGACUACCUGGCUCGAUACUGACACUGAGGCGCGAAAGCGUGGGGAGCAAACAGG